rnacentral:lncRNA from 1 species
UUCUUCGUGAAUCUUAUUAGUGUUAUGUCUGUAGUAUAUUUCACAUGUUACGGUAAGUUGAGUUGAGCAUGAUUCAGGUGGCUUACAUGUUGUUUCAACCUUAGAAAAUCAUAUUUAUUAAAUGGGUUGAUUUUAAGUUAAAUGCAAUUUGUUCUACAUUUUCUUGCUAAUUUUAGUAGAUCAUUGGUUGUAUUAUGUCUUUAUUAGCUAGCAUGACUUGAUGUUUGGAUGUAGUGGACUCAAUCAUGUUUGAUUUGCUCAGUUUCAACUUUGUCCAUUUGUUUAUC